GGUCAGGUGGCCGAGUGGUUAUGGCGCUAGUUUCAGGCUAAGAACUAAAAACAGUGCUGAAGACAAGAUUACUAGUGGAGCAAUCUUCGUGGGUUCGAGUCCCACCCUGAUCA